rnacentral:tRNA from 1 species
GCCGAAAUCCCCGGAAAUCCAUAAUUACACGACUGAAAAUCGCAGUGUCGGUGGUUCGAUUCCGCCCCUGGGCACCA